rnacentral:rRNA from 1 species
ACGGGAGGCAGCAGUGGGGGAUAUUGGACAAUGGGGGGAACCCUGAACGAGCAAUGCCGCGUGAGCGAAGAAGGUCUUCGGAUCGUAAAGCUCUGUUGUAAGAGAAAAAUGAUGCAUAUAGGAAAUGAUAUGCAGGUGAUGGUAUCUUACCAGAAAGUCACGGCUAACUACGUGCCAGCAGCCGCGGUAAUACGUAGGUGGCGAGCGUUAUCCGGAAUGAUUGGGCGUAAAGGGUGCGUAGGUGGCACGAUAAGUCUGAAGUCAAAGCUGGCAGCUCAAUUGUCAUACGCUUUGGAAACUGUCGAGCUAGAGUGCAGGAGAGGGCGAUGGAACUCCAUGUGUAGCGGUAAAAUGCGUAGAUAUAUGGAAGAACACCAGUGGCGAAGGCGGUCGCCUGGCCUGUAACUGACGCUGAGGCACGAAAGCGUGGGGAGCAAACAGGAUUAGAUACCCUGGUA